rnacentral:misc_RNA from 1 species
GAUGAAGAACGCAGCGAAAUGCGAUAAUUAAUGUGAAUUGCAGAAUUCAGUGAAUCAUCGAGUCUUUGAACGCACAUUGCGCCCCCUGGUAUUCCGGGGGGCAUGCCUGUCCGAGCGUCAUUGCUGCCCUCAAGCCCGGCUUGUGUGUUGGGCCUUGCUCCCCCGGGGGCAGGCCCGAAAGGCAGUGGCGGCACCGCGUCCGAUCCUCGAGCGUAUGGGGCUUUGUCACCCGCUCUGUAGGCCCGGCCGGCGCUUGCCGACCCCAAUCAAUCUUUUUUCAGGUUGACCUCGGAUCAGGUAGGGAUACCCGCUGAACUUAAGAAUAUCAAUAAGCGGAGGA